AAUUUUUUUGAGCAGAAUUUCUGGCAAAUUUUGCAUGGGCUAUAAUUUUGUUAUAAUUUCAAUCAACAUGGAAGUAAUUAAUAAUUGACAAAAUAGUGACUUCUAUUUCAACAAGUUGUGACUAUGAUCAGAGGGCAGCCAUUAUUGAAUCGUUUUUGUGGGAAAAAUGCCAAAGGAAAUCAUUGCAUAGCUUGGCUACAAGAAGUAGAGAGAUUUAGGGAGUCUAGCACGGAGAAACUUACUCCUGACUCAGCCAAACACAGAAAGCGAUCUGAUUGCAAGAGGAGUGACGAGGUUGUCUCCGAAUUGGAGGAGACGAUCAACCAGAAUCCACGGCAGAGCAUGGCUGACUUGGCAAAAGAAAUGGGCAUGGCAAGGUCAACAAUCAGU
rnacentral:lncRNA from 1 species